rnacentral:rRNA from 1 species
UACGUAGGGUGCAAGCGUAAAUCGGAAUUACUGGGCGUAAAGCGUGCGCAGGCGGUUUUGUAAGUCUGACGUGAAAUCCCCGGGCUCAACCUGGGAAUUGCGUUGGAGACUGCAAGGCUAGAAUCUGGCAGAGGGGGGUAGAAUUCCACGUGUAGCAGUGAAAUGCGUAGAGAUGUGGAGGAACACCGAUGGCGAAGGCA